rnacentral:rRNA from 1 species
AUUGUCGGCGGUGUCCUACUCUCCCACACCCUAUCGAGUGCAGUACCAUCGGCGCUGGAGGGCUUAGCUUCCGGGUUCGGAAUGGGACCGGGCGUUCCCCGCUCCGCUAAAACCACCGACAAU